GGGGGCGAAAUAGGAUCGACAAGGGUGUAAAGAUCGCUCUUUUACUCGGCAUUGUACCACCGUUAUCGGGCUAAAUGAGUAGUUGCAAAUGACAACUAUGCGGAAGCACGUCUCGCUGCUUAAGGUAGUGUGAAUGUUUCAAAUUGACUCUUAAACCGUCGCAGGUUUAAGCGGGGUUGGAAGG
rnacentral:tmRNA from 1 species